GUGCCACAGUAAAAGACCUGCUAUGUGAAUUUCACAGGAAUGCUAACUUGCUCUUUGUUUUAUUCUGAAGAAAUGAAGGUGAUCAACAGCGUGCCCCUUGAUCUCCAUUCGGGGUUGAAGGAAAUAGUGAAAAUUGUGAAUGUGUGCAAAUUGUGGUUACUGAGCAUGAGACUUUCACUGUGACAUAUUUAAAAAGAUGUUUUCAGUCCCACUUCUCACUACGACGGUCACUGAACUGGCGCCUCUCUGGGGUUCUGCCCAGAAGAUUAGCCUUCCUCGCCCGCUGCACCCCCUCUGAUAAAUCUCUAGGAGUGGUUAUUGCGGAAUCAAAGAAGAUAAAACAUUUUUUGAGGUUCUUUUUUUUCUUUCAGUUUUAUUGAGAUGUAACUGAUAUACAGCACUAAGUUUAAGGUAUACAGUAUAAUGCCUUACGUAUAUUGUGAAAUGCUUAUUACAAUAAAAAUAGUUAGCAUUCAUCGUGUUAUAUAGUUAACUUCAAAAAAAGAAAAAUAAAGACUUUUUUCCCUUGUGAUGAGAACUUUUAGGAUCUGCUCUCUUAGCAACUUUCAAGUAUACCAUACAGCAGUCUUAGCUAUAGUCAUCAUGUUGUCCAUUACACCCCCAGUACUUACGUAUCUUAUAGCUGGAAGUUUGUACCCUUUUGAGCUUCCUAACAAAUAUCACCACUUACCUGCUAGGAAGGUUAUAGUCCCACUAUCACUGUAUUAAAAUUCCAUUUUUUAUUGCGUGCUUACUAUCAGGGACUUCUAAAAAUGUUUGAUUCUGCAAGGUGAAAAGAAAUAAUUUUAGGGACUUCCCUGGUGGUCCAGUGGUUAGACUCCGCGCUCCCAAUGCAGGGGGCCCUGGUUCCAUCCCUGGCAGGAACUAGAUCCCGCACGCCACAACUAAAGAUCCCGUAUGCCGCAAGGAAGAUCCUGUGUGCCACAACUAAGUGCCGGUGCAGCCAAAUAAAUGAAUAAAUAAAUAGUAAAAGAAAAAGAUAUAAUUUUAUUUUAAAAAUUCCCAAUAAAAUUGAACACUUCUUGACAGUUUUGAAUUGUGUGGGUUGCGGGGUGGGGGGCUUGUUUUAAAGGUUUGUAAGAGUAGUUGUUUGCCUUUUAAUUUUUCUUUGGCUGCACCGAGCAGCUUGUGGGAUUCCCUGACCAGGGAUUGAACCCGGGCCCGGGCAGUGAAAGCACCAAGUCCUAACCACUGGACCACCAGGGAACUCCCAAUGCCUUUUAAUUUUGUAUGGUGAUUUUUGACAUGGAAAAGUUUUUUUCAGUUAUCCAAUUACUUAGGCUUUGCUGUGUUUUCUUUAACAGAAUAUUUCCUAUUCCUAAGAUCAGAUAAGACUGUGGAAAAUUUGAAGAUAGCUUUGAAAUGCAUGGGGGGGGGCGGAGAAACUUUUGAAAACAGUUGAUUUAGAAACGCUUGGCCUCCUGCUUGUAUUGAGAAAAAUCUAUCAUGAUAAUUUAGAUUUUGGAUUGUUGUUGCUGCUUCUAAAUAUGAUCAAUUGCCUUGUGUU